AUUGAACGCUGGCGGCAGGCCUAACACAUGCAAGUCGAACGGUAACAGGAAACAGCUUGCUGUUUCGCUGACGAGUGGCGGACGGGUGAGUAAUGUCUGGGAAACUGCCUGAUGGAGGGGGAUAACUACUGGAAACGGUAGCUAAUACCGCAUAACGUCGCAAGACCAAAGAGGGGGACCCUCGGGCCUCUUGCCCUCGGAUGUGCCCAGAUGGGAUUAGCUUGUUGGUGGGGUAACGGCUCACCAAGGCGACGAUCCCUAGCUGGUCUGAGAGGAUGACCAGCCACACUGGAACUGAGACACGGUCCAGACUCCUACGGGAGGCAGCAGUGGGGAAUAUUGCACAAUGGGCGCAAGCCUGAUGCAGCCAUGCCGCGUGUAUGAAGAAGGCCUUCGGGUUGUAAAGUACUUUCAGCGGGGAGGAAGGGAGUAAAGUUAAUACCUUGGCUCAUUGACGUUACCCGCAGAAGAAGCACCGGCUAACUCCGUG
rnacentral:rRNA from 1 species